rnacentral:lncRNA from 1 species
UGCUUGAGCGUCUUUUUUUUUUUUGUAUUUCCAUGCAUUUACACUCCUUUAAGAUGGUGAAACACUUUUCUAGCUAUUGAAUAGAUAAUAGAAUGGUUGUGAGAUAAAAACAGUCGUUCUAAUUCACAGAAAAACUAAUCAUUACUGUGUCAGGCAUAGAGGGGUCGACUCGCCAUUUUUUGGGAUCCACUUGAGAUUUUCAGAAGUCGACUUAUGAACUUCAUGAGUUGUCUCAAACUUACUUCUAUUUUUGUCGCACUCUAUCUUUCGUCUGUGGCACUUGUAAAGUUAGCUCUCUCAGUUCAAGAGUCGACUCGUCAGAUGACCGAGAUCGACUCGUCAGAUGACUGGGGUCGACUCAUUGCUUUCAAGGGUCGACUCUUCAAUGGACUAAGUUUUACGGCUUUCUGUCAUUCCACUAUGGUCGUUAGGUCGAUUUGUCUGUUUCUAAAGUCGACUUUAGUUUGACUAAAGUUGACUCAUGAUUUUUAUGGGUCGACUAGCCAAUACAAUUUUUUUUCAGCUUUCUUUUUUUUCUCUGUGGCUAAUUAGGGGUUGACUUGCUUUUCUCUGCGGUUGACUUUUGCUAGACCGAAGUUGGCUCAUGUACUUCAUGAGUCGACUCGUCAAUAUAAUGACUUUCUUGGCUUUCUGUCUGUCCUCGGAGACUAUUCUGGGGUUGACUCACGAUCUGCUAGAGGUGGCUCAUGAAGGCGUAUUAGUUAGUGAUAGGGUGUUGGGGACGACUCAUUGCAAGCUGGGGUUAACUCUUGAGGUAGCUUAGGUUGAAAUUUUUUAUGCUUGUAUGUAAGCUUCCAAGAUAUAUUUUCAUAUUCUUUUGGAGUCAACUUCUUAAUAUGGAGUUUCAGAUAGAUGAUCAUCACUUAAGAGUAACUGAAGACUUUUUUCUUUGAUUUUUGAGAUUAAUCAAUUAAACUCAAAAUAAUAAAUUAGUCAACUUUUGACUCAACUAUUUUGCAUCAUCAAAAUCAACACUUUAGAUUCAACAAAAUCAUCUCAUUCGGACCUUGUAUAACUAGUUAUGACCUCCAAAAGUUUGGUCUGCGACUCGACUUUCUGGUACAGUGAAUGUUGCUCCUGGCCCCUAUCCAGCCCUAUUCGUAGUGGCCAAAGUGAUCCACAUCGAAUUUGGGAAUCUUCCCAGAUCACUCUACGACCCCUAUCUUUUCUUUUGCCUUCUCAUAAGAACAUUCAAUGGCUUCAUGCCCUAGCAAGCAAAACAAUAGACAUGUAUCCCUUCAUAUGUGAAUGGUUGACAGAUUAGAUCUUCUCCCUCACCUUGCAUAUCAACUCUCAGAACAAGAGGCUCAUUAAGAUCUAGAAAAACACAAACCCUUGAAUUACUUCGUAACUCCAAACUCUUUAUCCAAUUGUUAAGCCAAAGAGGUUUACUAGCCAUUGCAACUAUCUCCAAAAUUUCAUCAUUUUUCCACAAUUCCAUGGGCAAUCCUCCAUUUGCAUCCAUAUUGAAGCUUUGGUUAUUGGAUUCCUGGAAGCUCUAAAAUUUGGUCUACAUAGUUCCAAUGCUAGGACCUGGUCCCCAACAAUCCAUGACUUUUUGUUGUGACCCUAAAUAAAUCCCCCUCCAAUUGAAAUAUGAAGAUAAAAUGAUCCAUUCCAAUUAGAAAUGCCUCCAAAACCCUAGCCAACUUCCAAUGUUCUCUAAAAGAAGCAAUCAAAAAGUUGAUACCAAGCCAUCUUCCCAUUGUUCUUCCAAUGCUCUCAAAUUAUCAAUCUCCUCAUCCAUCACUCGACUAGUCAUGGGAUGGCACCUUAUUCCUCGGGUCACUGACACUCAUAAUCGGCGUGGAACUGAGAUGUAUUCUCUUAUUUGAGAUGGAUCUUCCCUAAUUGCUUUCUCUUGUAAGUUUUUAUGAGUUGAUUUCUCUCCAACUUUACUUUGAGCAGAACUGCUCUCUUGACAGAGCUUUCCUAUUUUGCUAGCGUGAUCAUUCUUCAUUGCCUUCAAACUAGCCAUCAAACUCACCGUCGGUGGAUGCUCCAUGUAGCUCUUUUUUUUCUUCUUGCUCUGUGGUGUUCACAACAGGGUGGAGAGGGAUGCACGCCCUCUACCCCAUCAUGGUUUUUUUUACAUGAUGUAUACUGCAUGGCACACCUCUCCCAUUCCUUCCCCCAUCACUCCAUACAUCUUCUCCAUCCUCCCUCCCUUUUUCCUUCGUAUGCUAGGCACACAUACCUCCUCCCUUGUUUCUUCAAUGGCCUCCCCCCUCGCCCCUCUAUGCUUUUAUCAGCAACUAAGAAAACAUCGCUACAGUCUAUUUGAUUUUUUUUGGUACUACAAUCGAUGAAUAGUAUGACUAGAUGGUUCUUCCAUACCCUCAAUGCCACGAUCAACCCCCUUUCCUGUUGCUUUUUUUCUCCUUGUCUUCUAGUAGUCAUUGACGUGAUAACAUAUACCCCAAAUUAGGUGGGGCAACCCACCAAAUCCUGACAUAAGGGUUAACCCUGUCCACCAAUAAGACUAAAAAUGGGCUCAAGCCGACCUGAAGCCCAUCGGACUAGAUUGAUUUUAAAUUGGCCUGCUGGCUAGACCUAAAAGAUUUCAAGCUAAAUUUGGACUUAAAAAUAAAACUCAUUUAUUUUUCGAACCGAACUUGGUUAUAUCAUUAGUCUGAUCCGAAUCCAGCCUAUGCUCGACCCAAACUCGAGCCCAUACAAGGCCCGACAUAAAGCCUGAAUUCAGGCCCAGAUCCAGCCCAGUUUAGUUCCAAAAUGGCUCAAUUCGACCAAUUAGAUAUUUAGGCUCAGUCCAAAUUUCAAAAUGGGUUUGCUCUUCUUCUCUCGAAGAGUUCCGAUUGAUUGCAAAUCAAAACUCUGUCGUGGCCAAGGGUUCUUCACUUCUUGAUUUCAUGUCUCUCCACGACUCCACCUCCAUUGCCACUCCAAAGUCCAAUUGGCAAUCCCUCAUUGCCAUUCCCCGGUCGCCGGUCGUUGGUCUUCCCUGAAGCUCGUCCCGCAUUGUUGUAUUUGCCAAUCAUCUUUCACUGAUCGCUCAUCCUAUAUUUGUCAGCCUUUCAUCUUCGUUUUCACUUUGAUUGGCCCAACCUAGCUAUCCUUCCAUUAAGCCACUUGCUGAUAGGGCUGAAGCCCACCUCCAUCACCAACCCUGCCAUUAUCAUGGCCUUCUUGACUGACACCAGUGGCAACAUCACCUUUUCUUGUCGUCUUCAAACUUCAUAGGCUAUUGUUGCUCCACCUUCUUCCUAGCGUCGCUUGAAUACUUGUGCUGGAGUUGGGCUAGUCGGUUCUCAAAGCUAGAGAUGGCAGUGGCAGAUGCCGAAGUUUCGAUCGAGGUGGAGGAGUGCCUGGGCUUGGGCCAACCCAAUUGUUGGCCCAAACGGAUAAAUUCGGGUCAACCAAAUCAGGUUUAGGUAGGGCUCAAGCCUGGGUUUCCAAAAAUUUUUAGGCCUUAGCCCAGCCUGAAGUUCAAAACAAAGUUAGAUCGGGCUUGUGUAGACGUGUGGCCCAGCCCAUUUCUGGCUCUAUUCGUUAGUCACCCUAGGCCCCACCACCCCCAACACACUACUACGUGAUCCCCCAUUCUUUCAUACCUCUCUCUCUCCCUCUCUCCCUCUUCGGCACCCCCCUCCUCACUCCCUGAGGUGGGUUGAGCACCACCACCACCAAACCCCUGCUUUCUCCCUCUCUACCACAUAAGAAGAGAGAGAGAGAGAGAGAGAGAGAGACUUGGACGAGAUAGAGGAAGAGUGGGAGAUAUUUAGUGGGAUGGUUACUUGUGACCAUUGCCAGUGGAGUAGUGGCGACUGUAUUGAGGAGUGGGAGGGCAAGGACAAAGUUGAUGGCAUGAAUGAACUACUGGUGAUUGGGCAUGGGGUUGAGGAGGGCCAUGGAGGGAGGCGAGACUCUGAGAGUGAAGNNNNNNNNNNNNNNNNNNNNNNNNNNNNNNNNNNNNNNNNNNNNNNNNNNNNNNNNNNNNNNNNNNNNNNNNNNNNNNNNNNNNNNNNNNNNNAGUGAGGGAGGAGGGGGGGGGGGGCGGAGAGAGAGACAAGAGAAAGGGGAGGGUAGAAACCUCAGGAAAGUCAUAGUUGAGGGACCAGAGGACGAGAAUGAGGGACCAAAGAGAGACAAGAGAAAGGGGAGGGUAGAAGCCUCGGGAAAGUCAUCGUUGAGAAAAUCAUAGAGCAGAAAUCUUCUGUGAACUUAGUAAGAAAUAACAACAAGCAAAGAAAUAUAUUUGUUCAAUUUAGCAUAUAAUGAUUUAGUUCAUUUAUACAUACUAUUCAACUCACAAUCACAAAGUCAUAGAAACGUUUGAGGAUACAUAAAAUAUCUCUGAUUGUGUUAGGCAUGUUCUACAUUAUUAAAAUGACUAUCCGUGAUAUAAAAAAACCCCAAAUUGAUUAUUGUUUGGUAGGAAUGCUAGAGGUGCAUGUGUUGGUCAACACAGCUGGAAAUCUAUUAUUUUUUAAAAAUUUAUUUUUUAGUAGAACAAAUUAAAGCGAUAUUUAUACUAUAGAAUUUUUUUAAUCUGACAAAAAAGAUAGAAUAAAAGUUGUCUCAUUUUUUAUCGAUGAUACUGUUGUGUUGGCUUCACCUAUUCUACAAGCAUGCUUUAGAAGACACCUAUUGCAUUUUAUUUUACUUUUUUUAUAUAGAUAAACAUAAAAUGUGCAACGAUAUACUUAUCCAAUUGAUUUCUUUUUUUUGACUUUACAUGAUUUUAUAAAUUUAGUUAUGUUUGUAGGUUAUUCGUGCCCCUAAGUUGUUUAGAUGAUUUUGUUCCUCUGGUAUAUUUAUCUUUGUAGGUUAAAUAUUAAAUAGCAUCUUUUAAUUGUGAGGUGAUAUAGUGUGUAUGAUUUCAGGUAGUUUUAAGAAUGAAUAUAAAUUACAUUAAGUUAGAGACUUUGUGAACAUUAUCUUUUUAUUUGAUUUAUUAGUAUUUCUCUUCUAUUUAUAUAAUUUUGUAUCCAUAUAUAUAUUUUAACUAUAAACUUUGCCAAAUACUAACAAUAGCAUGACAAACUCUUUCCUUUUUUUUUUCCAGGCUCCACCAUAAAAGAUGCAGGAGAGGAGACAUAGAAUCAAAUAAUUUCAAGAAAAAAUUAUCACUAUAUAUUAUCAAAAAAAAUUAAGAAGAUAUUUUUUGAUUUCCAACUCGAGCAUAAAAGAUGUAGGAGAGGAAAAAUAGAAUUAAAUAAUUUCAAGAAAAAAAUUAUUACUAUAUAUUAUAAAAAAAUUAAGAAAAUAUUUUUUGAUUAUUAUUAUAUUUUUAUUAAUUAGUUUUUACUAUCACUUUAAUUAGAACCUGCUGUGCAUGCAGAUCUUCUAUUUGUACCCAAAUAAAUAAAUAAAUAAUAAAAUAGAAGGGAUGUUGGAGUUUUAAUUAAAAAAAUUUAAAUUUUCUUAUCUCCUAAGCAUUAGUUGUUUUAAAUACUUUAAAAUAUCCUCGUAUUUUUCAUACGAGUUGUAACUCUUCAAAAGAGAACGUUAGUUUCUGAAAAGAUACAGUGUUUCCGAAACAUUACAUAUAUUCUGAACUAUCACAUCUCUUCGGUCUUCUAGAUAAGAGUCUUCGGUCUCAUUAUAUCUUUCAAGAGUUUUUUCUACAGAUCUAGAGUUUUUCCACUUUUCCACUUUCUAUUUUUUUAUCUUUUUUUAUUUCUUGGACAUAUGAAGAAACUGGUUGAGUCAGACCUUCCUAGUGAUCGUGUUGGUUAAAGGAGGAUCGAGCUGAGCCAGGUUGUUAUACCUUAGGGACGAAAUGGCCACAAAUCUACAGUUAAGGGGUAAAUUAUGUUAUUAGGGCCAUUAGGGCAGUGUAUAUCACACGUCUCCAUCGAGACAAGUCUUUUUAACCUUCUGAUUUUAUACUGAUAUAUUUAUUUUUUAUAAUACUUCUAUAAAAUAUAAAUAUAGUAGUUUUAAGAUAAAAAUAUUUUCAUCGUGGGAUGGGCCGCGGGUUGCAUCCUGAAAAAAUUCAAUUUCAGGUUCUUCCGCAUCAAGCUGGAGCACCAUCGAAUCGGCUGGACCGUCAUCCUCGUCCCCCUAUUUUUUUUUAUUCAUGCAAUCUUAGCCGUGUCUGCCCACCAAUCGUGACCAUUCUUCGCCACCAAGCGUGGAUCUUAGGUGAUCUCGCGUUCUUUCCGCGUCCAGGCUAACUUACGCUUUUACCCUCCACAUGUCACAUCCCCAAGACUUGUGUUUCCGGACGCGUGAUGCCGGUCAGCGAAGCUUCCCAUGUACCCGUAGUAUAACAUAAGUAACAUGUACACCCACUGGCGCACCCGCCAGCGACCCCACCCCUCUGUUUGCGGGUGUACGACUGAGUGCGUUGCCCUGCCUAGGAUGAGAAUAAUCUUUUAAUGUCAACGUCGCGAACCGGCCGCAAAUGUAUUUAGUUGCCACGUGGAACUUUGACGAAAGCCCAGGACGACCUAGAAGGGGCACUCUUGUAAUUUCGCUCACAAUUUCCUCCCAAAUACCGGCCAACUCGUCGAGCCGGAAAGCGAGCCGAAGCAGCCGCCAUAAUUUUCUAUGACGGCGAUAUUUGUCCUAUAAUACCCGCCUCUCCCGCGAUCGCCCCUCGAUCCCUUUUACUCAGAAUCUUAACCCUCGAUCGCUUGCGAUCUUGGCUUCUCUGUAACCCUAACUCCCGUUCGCUUUCGAUCUCGAAUUCUCUGAUCUCUGUUGUCUUCGAUCAUGGCGCACAGGACGCUGGAGGUCACCCUGAUCUCGGCCAAGGACCUCAAGGACGUCAAUUUGUUCUCCAAGAUGGAGGUCUACGCUGUGGUGUCCCUCUCCGGAGACACCCGGUCGCGGCAGCGGACGCCGACGGACCGGGAGGGCGGCCGGAACCCCGCCUGGAACUCGACGUUCCGCUUCAACGUCCCCGCCGACGGAUACGGCCGGCAGGUCCUCCACAUCCUCAUCCGCGGCGAGCGCGCCCUCGGCGACCGCGAUGUCGGCGAGGUCCACAUCCCCUUAUCCGAGCUCCUCGACGCCGCCCCCGGCGACGGCCCCAAGUUCGUCAGCUACCAGGUCCGCAAAUGCACCUCCGGCAAGCCGAAAGGCGUCCUCAACCUCUCCUAUAAGGUCGGCGAGAAGAUCGCCGCCCCCGCGCCUGCUCCGCAGGCGGCGUACCCGCCUCCGGUGGGGUUCCCCAAGUCCAAUCAGCCCGUCACCGCCUACGCCCCCGCGGGCGCCUACCCGCCGCCGGCGAAGGCCCCAAAAGCCGGCGAGACUGUCGCCGCCUACCCGCCGCUGGGGACGGCGCCCAAGUUCGACGAGCCCGUCACCGCCUACGCCCCCGCGGGCGCCUACCCGCCGCCGGGGAAGGCGCCGAAAGCCGGCGAGCCUGUCACCGCCUACCCGCCGCUGGGGAAGACGCCUAAGGCCGACGAUCCUGUCACCGCCUACCCGCCACCGGUGAAGGCGCCCAAGGCCGACGAGCCCGUAACGGCGUACCCCGCCGCCGGCAGCAGCUCCGCCGGGUACCCGCCCUACGGAGCGCAGCCAUACCCCCCGCCGGCGGGGUACCAGGGGUACCAGCCGCCGCCGUACGGGUACGCGCCGCCGCCGCCGCCGCCGCCGCCGCCGCCGCACCAGGGCGGGUACGGUUACCAGCCGUCAGGGUACGGGUACGGGGCGGCGCCACCGGUGGCGCAACCGCAGAAGAAGAAGAAUAAGAUGGGGAUGGGAUUGGGGGCGGGGCUGAUCGGUGGGGCUCUCGGCGGGCUUCUGAUCGGGGAUAUGAUCUCGGAUGCUUCCAACUACGAUGCUGGCUACGACGCUGGGUUCGAUGAUGCCGGUGGGUUCGAUUUCUAGGACUGUAUUAAAGAAAUUUAAUCUCGUUUCUCUGUCGUUGGAGUUUGGUAAUUACGUAAUUAGGAAGUUGCACUCGUUAGCGUUGUACAUAGAGGUCGGAUACCUUCUUGCCUCGCUUGCGAAGUAUGCAACAAAAACGUGUUUUUUGUUUAUUUGAAACCACUUUUUUUUGUUUUCGUGAUCUAUGUAUUUUGGAUUAGAAUUGUCUUUGGUUUUGAGUAGUGAUGGAUUUUUUUGGAAUGUGGUUGGGACUUAUUAAAAUUUCAUUCGGAUUUCAAUUUCAAUUUCAGUUAUGAACCAAAUAUAUCGGAGAAUUCAUUAUGAUUUCAAUUCCAAUCCUGGUCACGAAUUGAUUCAUGGCCAAAAUCAGAAUGGGAACUGAACUUCUCGCAACCAAAUGAUUGGAAUGAGAGUCACUCAUUCCCAUUUCUUAGAGUUCAACUUUUCCUAAUCUAACAUGCCCUAUGUAUAACGCAUGAUGUAAUUUUGUAGAAAGUAUGUUUUCUUCUCCUUCAUCCUCAUCCUCCUCCUCCUCCUCCUCCUCUAGUGGGGUGAUAUUAUGGGAGAGUUAUGGUUAUAUGUUUGAGUUCAGACUCAUGAAAUUUAAGAUCUACUAGGAGCACAAUAAAGGAAAACCCAGACAAAGGCCAUGAGGGUGGAUGGACAAAGGCUCCUGCUCGAAGCCGGAGCAAGAGCACGGAGAAAUGUGCGAACACAAAAACAAUUUGAGGAAUCCUUUUUAAAGAAGUCCUUUAUGGUAAUUUAACAUAUAUUUUGAACGAAGAUAUGACAGAGUUGGAGAGAAGUAAAGGUAAUGGUUUGCCAUUAUGAAAUUAAGCAAUGCCUAGUGGUGGAACAUUGGAAUGCUUUAAAUAAUGAAUGUUUGAUCAUAAGAAGCGGAGAAGGGGACUGCGCAACAUUGGAAACUAGGUGACUCUUCUUCUUUCUUUCGUUCAUUAAAAAGGGGAAAUGCCUCUCUGAAUUUCGUUUAUUUAAAAGAAUAUGUACACGUGAUGGCAUGUCAGCUGCAACGAAUUGGCAAAUUACCAUCAUUAUUUCCGGAUAAGAGUAGCGAGAGACGGUGAAGAAGGCGGGAUAGUGUGGGGAAAGUGGUGUUUGGCCGAAAAGUUGGCUAUCCGAUUGAGCCUAAACUCUUUCAAGGCUAGUUUUCUUUAGCAAAAAGGGGAGGUCCUGACCAGGUAAGUUAAGCUCCUAAGUGCGUUUGGUACACCAUGCGAGUUUGAGUCCCUCGUCAUCCUGUAGCAAAAAUCACGUACACGUUAGAGCUAUAUAAAUUGCCGUUUUCAUAAAAAAAAAAAAAUCCCGUCAAAUCCAACAAAUAUAAUAAAGAAGCUGCCCUAAAAGCAGGGCUGGCUCCACUCUUAGGUGAUUGAGGCAGCUCUGACCUAAAGAAGACCUACCACAGGAAAGUUAGCAGUUUUGAUGUUAAAGCUUCCGAGUUGAAACACUCUCUGGUUUCAUUCUUUCCACAAACACCAGUUGAAACAUUUCAUUUAUUCCGGAAUCGGAAGCUUCCAGCUGAUGCCACCAAACUCAGAUGUAAUGCCGCCAUGACUUUAAGAAUCUAUAGCAGUUUUUAACAGCAAAGGAAUUUGAGGAGCUCCACUUCCAUUUCACUUUAUCCUCUACCUGUGUUAGGGAAAACCUACUCAGAAGAUUCCACAGCUGUAUCUGUUCUUCUUUGGCUUGAGUUAACAUGGGAGAUGUUGCUGAAAACCAAUCUGCUGAACCUUGAACGAAGUUGGCCACAGUAUCUUGCUUCUGUGCACUGAGGAAUAAGAUGGGGAAUACCUUCUUCGACGACUCAUCAUGGAUCCAAGAGUUGUGCCACAGAGCAGUUUGAUUUUCAUUACCCGUCUGAUCAAUAGACACGCUAGCGAAGAACCAUGGGCUCAUUUUCAUUAUUUCCUUCCAAAAUGCUGAGGCUUUAAUAGCGUUUGAGACCUAGCUUGGAGGUGUUUUUGAGAAGUGCAAUAGGUGUAUCAGUCAUCUCCAUGGUCUGGUGUUUCAGUAGAAGAAUCUCCACCACCAUUUGGUUUGUAAACUUUGAUUUAGGGUCUUUAUAUUAAGGAUUCCAAGACCACCCAAAUGCGUCGAGCGGCAAGCUUUUUCGCAGCUCACUUGAUAAUGCCCUCCACAAAACGAAUCGUUCCCUCUCCAUAGAUAUUGCCUUCUUUUGAAGUCAAUGUGUUUGAUGACUUUUGCUGGUAUUUGAAAGCAUGGCAUCCAGUAGACUGGGUAGCACUGAGAAUGGAGUUGAUUAAGGCUAACCUUCCACCAAACGUUAAUAAUCUUCCUUUCUAGGAGGCCUAGUUUUUUUUUUUUUCUAUUUUCUGUUCCAAAAAUCUCCAGUCAGAUCUUCUAGGCUUGUUAUAGUGAAGAGAGAAACCCCAUUAUUUAAGCCGAAAAAUUUUGGCAUAAAUCUAAUUUCUUUCAUCGUCCAUGUUCAGACCAAUGAGUAACUUUUAUACAAGUUGACCUUUAAUCUACAUGGUAUCUCAAAUGAAUAUAUAAUGAACUUUGGGUUCUUAAUGAACUCCUUUGAGGCUUUGCAGAAAAUCUAAGUAUCAUUUGCAUAUUGGAGGAAGACGAUACUUCUAGAAAUCUAAGAGGAGCCCACACUUGUGAUGAGGUUAUUCGCCGCCGCCACAUUUAGCAAACGUCGUAGUGUAUCAGGUGCGAGGAUGAACAGGAAGGGGGAUAAUGGAUCCCCUUGCUUGAGCCCAUUUUUAGAAGCAAACCACUUUGUAGGCUUUUCAUUGAUGAGCAGAGAUGGUUUAGUAGAAUGAAGCAGCUUCUGUAUCCAAGAACACCAAGUAGUGCUAAAACCUCUUGCCUUUAGGAGUUUUAGGAGAAAUUCCCAGUUUAGGCAGUCGAACACUUUUCUAAAGUCCAAUUUUAGGACAAUACCUUGGUGGUAUGAUCUCUUGCAGUGAGCGAUAAGCUCAGCAAAUGUGACGAAACAGUCUCCUAUUUGUCUUCCUUUAAUGAACGCCGAUUUAGAUUGGGAGACCAAGAUGUUGAUGAAGUUUGCAAGCCUGGUGCAAAGAACUUUGGAGAUAAUUCUCAAAACACCAUGAACCAAACUUAUAGGCUUGUUGUCACUUACAGUUGUGCAAUCUUGUUUCUUAGGAAUCAAAGUCAGGUAGGUGUAGUUCAAUCUGGUAAGGUCAGUAGAUCAGUGGUGGAACUCUUCAAAUAAUUUGACAAUGUCCCCUUAAUUAAAGCCCAAUAUUGCUGAUAAAAGGACAUUGGGAAACCGUCGGGCUCUGGUGCCUUGUCUCUGCCCAAGCUGAAAGCUGCUCUUCUGAUUUCCUCCUCUGAGAAAUGCUCAUCAAGCUAAGACAGGUUCAACUGCCCUCCUUCAUAAAUAUGGUCGAGGGGUGGCGCUGCAUGGAUCUAAAUAGAAAUGAACAAAAAUCUCUUUAAUGCCAUGCGUAGCGUCGAAGGUUCUGCCUUGAUAGCUAACGCUACUAAUAGUAUUUUUCUUUUUCUUGCACUGGGAUAAGCAUGGAAGAAUUUAAUGCUACGUCUCCGUAAUUCAACCAUUGAAUUCUCGACUUUUGCCUCUACACUACUUCCUCAUGGAGAAGGAUGCUGCUAAGCUUUUUCUUUUUAAGCCGUGUUCUUUCUAUUCUUUCCAAGGGAGUGAGGUUGUUGUUACACAUCCUUAUGUAUUAUGGAUGAAGUCCAAACUGAAACUAAACUAAAUUCUGUUAUUCAGUUAGUCAAUCAGUUAGGCAGUUACUCAGUUAGCUCUUAACAGUUUAGUUCCUAUAUAUAUAUAUAUAUAUAUAUAUAUAUAUNNNNNNNNNNNNNNNNNNNNUAUAUAUAUAUAUAUAUAUAUAUAUAUAUAUAUAACUUCAGCUUGUAAGAGAUAGAUUCAGAAGUAAGAAUAAACACUCGGCUUACUCUGUUCUCUUCCUCCAAGAUUAUUUCCUCUGAAUACAUUUUCCAUUUCCUUCUUCAUACAAAAAUUUACAUGGUAUCAGAGCUUUAAGAGCUUCCGACCAUGGCUGCAUCUACUCACAGCAGUGCGGAUUCCAUUUCUUCUCCGUGUCACAGCAUAGUCGAAGAUCCCAUGAACCCUUUCUUCUUACAUCAUGGCGACAGCACAGGUUUGCAGCUUAUAUCUUUAACCUUGAAUGAAGAAAACUAUUCAGCUUGGAGCAGAUAUAUGAUCAUGGCUCUAAGUGUUAAAAACAAGGAAGGAUUUGUCGAUGGAAGCCUUCCUCAACCUCCAUCGAAUGAUCCAUAUCAUGCGUCCUGGAGAAGGUGUAACAUGGUUGUUUCAGCAUGGAUUUUGAAUUCAAUCCCAAAAGAAAUGACCACUAGUGUAAUAUACAUGGAGACAGUAAGAGAGAUCUGGCUUGACUUAAAAGAAAGAUUUAGUCAAAGCAAUGGGACAAGAAUCUACCAGCUGCAGAAGGCUAUCUCAUCCGUUUCUUAGAGUCAUGGGAGUGUAAUCUCCUACUUUACCCGCUUGAAGGGACUUUGGGAGGAGUUAGCCAAUUUCCGACCUCAGCAACAGAGUGAAUAUCAAAAUGAAGAACAAGUGAUUCAGUUCUUGAUGGGAUUAGAUGAGUCCUACUCCAAUGUUCGUGGACAGAACUUAUUAAUGGAUCCCCUGCCAUCAGUUAACAGGGUUUUUGCCCUUAUGCUUUAGUAAGAAAAGCAACGUGAUGUGACUGCAAUGAUGCAAACUUCUGAUGUCGCUGCAUUUGCUAGUAAGUCCACUCACAACUAUAACCAGUCUUCUUCUAAUCAGACUGCAAAACACAUUCAAAAACAAGUUAAUGUAGGCCAAAUAAAUAGGAGAGAUAGGCCCAUAUGCAGUCACUGUGGUAGAACAGGACAUAUCAAAGAAAAGUGCUACAAACUUCAUGGAUUUCCACCCGGAUUCAGCUUCACAAAAGGCAAAAGGACGACCCUUGCAGCUAAUCAAGUUUCUAGUCCUGAUACGCCGAAAAUGUUUCUUGAUUUUUCCAAAUUUCUAUUACUCCCGAUCAGUGUCAGAAAAUUCUCUCAAUGUUAAAGCCACAGCUGCAGUCGUAUGAGAGUGCUGCUGCUUCAUUAAAAAUCCCACAGCCCUCGGUACAUCACGUUGGAGACUUACGACCCGGUACCAACAACUCCAAAGUGCCUUCAUCCUCUGCAUUAUCAGGUAACAAUGUCUGUUCUUGGAGCAUUCUUGAUCAUCAACAAGAACACAUCCCUUGGAUCAUAGAUACCGGUGCCACAGAUCACAUAGUAUGCGCCGUCUCUUAUUUUUUUGCAAGUGCAACCGUCUUCAACACCACUGUAAAGCUUCCCACGGGUGAAAGAACCCCUGUUACACACAUAGGGAUGGUCAAGAUUUCGGACACUCUCAUUUUGACUAAUGUGCUGUGUGUUCCCAAGUUUUCCUCCAAAUUAAUCUCAGCAAGUAAGCUGAUAGAGACACAUAAUUGCUGUUUAAUUUUUCUGUCAAAAUGCUGUUUGAUACAGGACCUGUUGAGCUGGACGAUGAUUGGACUGGGGAAGCUUAAGGAUGGCCUUUAUCAUCUUCAGCUAAAUAAAAAUAAAGUCACUCCUUGUUCCACAGCACAUUCAGCACCUCAUCCUGGUUUUGUAUGUUCAGCUGUUAACCCAAUUUUUCUUCAAAAUUCUGUUCAAAGUAAUAAUCAUCUUUGGCAUCGUAGAUUAGGUUAUCUAUCAUAUCAUAGACUCGAUAUGUUACAAAACCUAAGAUGCAUGUUACUCAAAAUGAACAUUGUGCCAUUUGUCCCCUUGCUAAACAACAUAGGCUGAGUUUUUCUCAUUCAAACCAUGUUUCCCAUUCUAUCUUUGAACUGAUUCAUUGUGAUAUUUGGGGACCUUUUUCUACUCCUUCACUUGAUGGAUCUAAGUAUUUCUUAACAAUUGUGGAUGAUUACAGUAGAGCUACUUGGGUCUACCUGAUGCAUUCUAAGUCUCAAACUAGUAAUAUAAUUCAGUCCUUUUGUGCCUUAAUUGACACCCAAUUUUCUGUUAAGGUCAAGUCUAUUAGAACAGACAACGGGCUAGAGUUUAAUAUGGCAAGUUUUUAUGCAUCAAAAGGAAUUAUACAUCAAUUAAGUUGUGUUGAUACUCCUCAACAAAAUGGAGUGGUAGAAAAGAAAAUCAACAUAUUCUCAAUGUUGCUGGGGCCUUAAGGUUUCAAGCUAAUCUCCCUAUGAAUUUUUUGGGAGAUUGCAUUUUAACAGCAGUAUAUCUCUUUAAUAGAAUACCAACUCCUAAGCUUUCAAACAAAUCUCCUUAUGAAGUCUUGUUUUCUCUAAACCUUCUUAUUCUCAUUUGAAAGUAUUUGGUUGCCUAUGUUAUGCUUCUACAUUAAAAAGACAUAGGACAAAAUUUGAUCCUAGAGCUAGACAGUGUGUCUUUCUUGGAUAUCCUCAUGGUAUCAAAGGUUACAAACUUUUUGGCAUUCAAUCCAAAACUACAUUCAUUUCUAGGGAUGUUGUUUUUCAUGAAUCAAUUUUUCCAUUUCAACACAAUUUUUUUCCUAAUACUGCUCCACUUGAAACUCAUGACACUAUUUUCCUUAAGUCUCCCAUUACUUCUUAUGACCAUUAUCCCUCACAAACUUCCUUUCGGCCUGCACACUUGAACACCCCAAGUAUUGCAAACCCAUCUCCCAUACAAAAUCAUAACAACACUCCAAAUUCAGCCGACACAUAUUUUGGCACACAAAAUGGCACGCUCAGUGGCACAACCUCUCCUACUCCCAUAGAUAAUUCUGUUUCACCAAUUUCUUCCGCAUUCCAACAGCCACUUAGAAAGUCAUCUAGGAUCAAACGACCCCCUACCUAUCUUAGAGAAUAUCACUGCAAUUUGGCAUCUGAAAUUCCCCGAUUUCAGUCAAAAAUUCAGAAUGUAGAGUCCAUGUUUCAAUCAGAAAUUCUGAAGAAAAUUCAAAGAACAGGAGUUUCUGAAAAAUCUGAAAAAGCCUAUGACAUAUCAAGCUUUCUGGGAUAUGAAAAGUUGUCCCCUUCUCAUCGUUAUUUGGCAUUGUCUAUAUCAUCUACAACUACCCCCAAAACUUAUGCUGAGGCUUCUAGAUCAUAAGAAUGGAGAGAUGCCAUGAAUGCUGAAUUUAAAGCUCUAGUUGAGAAUAAUACUUGGACUAUUACUUCUCUACCUAAAGGAAAAGAACCAAUCAGUUGCAAAUAGGUGUAUAAACAGAAAUUCAAAGCAGAUGGAACUGAGGAAAGGAAAAAGGCAAGACUUGUAGCUAAAGGAUACACUCAACAAGCCGGAUUGGAUUAUCAUGAUACUUUUUCUCAUGUUGCAAAAUUAGUUACCGUCAAAACACUCUUAGCAGUCUCAGCUAUCAAAAAUUGGCAUUUAUAUCAAUUGGAUGUUAAUAAUGCCUUUUUGCAUGGUGAUUUGCAUGAAGAAGUAUAUAUGACUUUUCCUCCUUGUUAUGAGCAGCAAGGAUAAAAUGGUGAAAGAUUAGUAUGUCAUCUAAACAAAUCUAUAUAUGGCUUGAAACAGGCUUCAAGAUAGUGGUUUGAAAAACUAUCUCCCUUCAUCAUUUCUCAUGGUUUUAUUCAGUCUAAGGCUGAUUACUCACUAUUUACAAAAAAAAAUGGUGACUCCUACACAACCAUAUUGGUAUAUGUAGAUGACAGAAUAGUUGCUGGAAACGACAUCUCCUACAUAAAUCAAUUUAAAGGAGUUCUUGAUUUGCAAUUCAAGCUUAAAGACCUAGGGGUCUUAAAAUAUUUCCUUGGUCUUGAAGUAGCUAGAAGCUCCAAAGGAAUUUCUAUUUGCCAAAGGAAGUAUGCAUUGGAAAUAUUAGAAGACGUAGGAUAUCUUGGUGCAAGACCUGCAAAAUGUCCCAUAGCACAAAAUUUAAAGCUCAGCAGAUAUGAAGGUGAUCCUAUUACUAAUCCCGUAGUUUAUAGAAGACUUGUGGGACGAUUACUUUAUCUCACCAUAACCAGACCUGAUUUAACACAUCCUGUACUUGUUCUGAGCCAAUUUUUGGAUUCACCAAAGCAACCUCAUUUAGCUGCUGCAUAUCAUGUUUUGAGGUAUCUCAAAGCCACUCCGAGACAAGGAUUGUUCUUCUUUUCCACUUUUGAAUUGCAAUUAAAAGCCUUCUAUGAUGCAGAUUGGGCAGCAUAUUCUGACACUUGACGCUCAGUUACAAGUUUCUGCAUUUUUCUUGGAAACUCACUUAUAUCAUGGAAAUCAAAGAAGCAAUAUACUGUAUCAAGAUCCUCAGCAGAAACAGAAUAUCGUUCCAUAGCCUCAACUUGUUGUGAGAUUACUUGGUUAAAGAAUCUUCUUGCUGAUUUGAAUGUCGUUAAGUCAAACUUACCGACGCUUUAAAGCGUCGCUAAUUGAUAGAUAUUCGUGAUUUUAGCGACGCUUUAAAGCGUCGUUAGCGUAUUAUUUUUUAAAAAAAUAUUUAAAAAUUUUAAAACUCUGUUUACAAAAUCAAAGGCAUACACACUAAGCGAGAUAUACACAUGGCACAAUCAAACAUAUUUAUCUAAACAUUCAUAUUAUCAAAUUACAUUUAUACUAUCAAUUUACAUUUACAAUGUACUUUGAAAAGCAUAAAAAAAUACAUAUAAAACUCCAAAAUAAAAGCUUCAGGGGUCGAUGGCAUCACCAUCUCUACGCGCAGAUGAAGUAUCAGGAACCUGUAAUAAAAAAAACUAAAGAAGUUAAGAAUACGAAAAUUAUUAAGCUCUUUAAGAAAAAUAUUAAGCUCUAUUCGAAUAGACUCGCCUCACUUGAUGAUUGCAAGCAAAGUAAGGUAAUUACUUGCAGUAAUCACCUUUAGGAGAUGAAGUUGAUGCAUCAUAAGCAAGGCUUCAUGAAGAUCCGAAGCAUUAGCAAAGGGAGAGGAGCUUGAGAUUUGAAGGAUACAUUUCGUUUCCACUCCGUCAAUUCAUCUAAGAUUAUAUUUAUCUUAAAAUCCAGUUUAGAGGGGGUGGUUCCCAUCUUGCCCAUCUUUUAUGCUGACUUGUAGUUGAUGCAUAGAGUUCUGAAAUAUUAAUUUACCAUGCACCAAACCUUUGAAGCUGUCAUUUUUUUCAAACCCCUUCCUAUUCUCAAAAGAGAGCAAGUAAACCAUGAAACAGUAGCAACGAGAGCCUUACCUCAUUUAGGACUGACAUUAUUAGGCCAAAAGGAAUCAUCUGAUGGAUCUCCAUUCCAAACACAAUUUCUAUCAUCUGGUUGCCAUCCCAACGGGUGAAAUAUGACAUUCCAGGCUCCACUUCUCCAUUCCAAACACAACUUAGAGUAAGCUCUACUUCACAGCCAUUCAUGGCUUUUCCUUAGUCUCCACAAAAUUGUAAAUAAGAGGGCAUCUAAGGCACUGUGAUCUAAAUGAGAAACCAUAGCAUUAGGAAAGAAUUGUAACCAAUUAGACUUAUUUAAAGCAUGGUCCAGCUGGGCCCUGACCUAGCAAGCCUUUGGCGAUUUCUACACCAAGUACGGGGGGGCCAGAGAGAAGCCAAGCUCGUGCAAGUCAUGAUCAGCCACAAAAUUAUGAAAUUGAUGUACUUUUCAAGAGACUUUAAUUUUCCUUCUGCUGGCAAUACAAAGGAGUCCCAAGCCCUACCAACACUACAUGCCACAAAAUUUAGCAAAUCCAUGAGAUACAUGACUUUCAUCAAGGAGAACACAUUAUAAACAUAAAUCAAAGAAAAACAUCUUGUUCGAGCAUCUUUUUUCGAUGCCCCCCCUUAUAAUUCCACAUCAAAAUAACAGCAGGGCAAAACUGAUAGCAGUUCCAUAUAGAAAAUCAUCCUCAUUUUGAAUCAUAGGAUCAUUAGACUUACCUUGCUCACUUGGGUACUGACCAAGUUAUCAGUUUACUAGAGAGUACCUUCACCUCCUUCAACCUCCAUACUCGCCCCAACGGAGUCUCCUCCUCCAUUUGAGAUCCAUAUUUGAGAGGAUUUCCAAAACCUUUGACCAAAAACACCACAUUUAUACAACAAAUAGAUGGGACCUUUUCAUACUGUAAUUCUUGACAAAGGACACUUCUCUAGGGGACCAAGCCACAUCUCCUGUUUCAUAGGUUGAGAUGGGGAAAUCUCCACACCCACUAUGACAAUAUCACAUUAAUUGUUCUCCAUGCAUAGUGGGUUCAUCUAUUCUCAAAGGUUUGCCAAUCCCAGCAGCAAGCUAGAUUUAUCCAGACAAAAAGAAACCUAUGUGAUCUGGUCAGCAUUAACAAAAAGUGAGUACACUUAGAUAAUAAUAGAGAAGACAUUAAGUAAUAACUUGGCACAAAGAAAGCCAAAAACUGAGUGCGAUGGGGUGCCAAAACGCGCCAAGAAAAAAGAUGGUCUUUUAUUUUUUGGUACAAUAGUUGCUCACACUGCUCUAGUGUGAGUGCAACCCAUAGAGUCGAGGGAAAGAAAAUGACGUAUGGGUGGAGGGGCGGCUUCAAGGCAUGUUCAAAGAACCUUUUUCGAGUGGUGAGCAGGAAAGGAGGCGACCCAAUCUGCAGUCAUGUUUGCCUUCCGAUACACAUGAGCAACCUGAAAUGAGUCACAGUCUCUCGCUAUCCUGUGAAUAUCCUAGAGCAGUGGGUGGCCAUCGUCCCUCUACUCCUCAUCUCGGAUCUACUCGACCACCGUCGUUGAGUUUUCUUCCAGGAGGAUAUUGUCGACCCCUAGAAUAUGCCUCGCGAAGGUGAUGCCCUCCCAAACUGCCCUGAGCUCCCCCCAAUAGCUGUUAUGUCACAUAUGCGACAUCUUCCCGUGGCAACCAAUCUAGAGUUGUGAUCUCUGAUCACAAAAUUCAUACCUUCUUUGUCUCCAUUUGCCGCCAUACUGCCAUCAAAAUUCACCUUGAGAUGGCCCGGGGGUGGGGGCUUCCAAUAGACAAAAGUAAAUUUAGGCACUGCAACAACGAAGUGGGAGUCCCAGAUGUCCCUAGCCAUCUCGGAUGAUAUCGUCAUGGUUGUGUUGAUGAUCUCUACAACUUGGAGGAGAGCUCUAUCGACCACAGCCCUCGUGGAUGUCCUCUUACCUUCAAAGAGACAAACGUUUCUGUCUAGCCAAAUGUGAUAAGGCAUGUAAGCAUAGGUGAUGCCCCACUCAGCAGAACUCAGUCUCCUCAUGGCCUCCCUUAGCUGGCGUAGAAGUUCCUCGGCCGACUUCACGGAGUGCGGCAUGGGGAAUGAAGCCCUCCUCCAAACCUGCACUGCCCGAGGGCAACUGAACUGCACAUGGCUGACAGACUCCUCCAUGUCGGGGCACUCCUCACACAUGGGAAUAAUCCUCACGCUCCUCCUGGCCACCACACUCCGGUUGGUAGAUAGCCCCAUGUCACCUUCCAGAUGAAUAAGGCUGCACGAGGGUGGAUACGCAUUCUCUGAAUCCACUCACCAUCAAUCUGUCGGAUUGUCUCCCUCCCAUCAGAACAUGCAAGUCCCUAGUACGUACCUUCGCCCUUUCUGUCAAAGUCCAGACCAGUUUGUCCGUUGUCUCCCUCGCAGGAAUUGAAAGUGCCAGAAUCCUCUCAGCCAGCUGCUCCCAAAUGCGUCCCGGAUCAGCAUGUCAUUCGACUUACCUCUUUCCGGAGAGAUUAGAUCACUAACUCUGCACCCCUUUAGCUUUACCGAAUCGACCAUCGUCGGCAUUCGACCCAAUAGCUGUUCGGUCACCCAUGCGUCCUCCAACACAUCAAUAGACUGCCCAUUGCCAAUGGCCCACCUGAUCGCAGAAAGCACCACUGGAGCAUGGGCGCAAAUCUCUUUGCAAAUGAAGGAGCAAUGGCGUACUGCCCGAAAGUCAGCCACCGUGGUGUAUGCACUGUACUUGCCCCUCAUACACAGGCUAUCCGAUUUUAAGAUAUAUCUGGCUGCAUGUCUUGCUGCCAGAACCUUUCGCCUGGCUGCCAAAGAGCGUACACCCAACCCACCAAACUUGAGCAGCUGACAAAUCACCUUCCAAACCACCAAAGUGGAUUCUUUGGUACCAUUGUUAACUAUUAUCCAACGUGCAGACUCCAUGCUUUUCAAUUUGGAGAGUGUUUUGCCUUUGUUGUCGGCAAAUAGGAGGCCUCAUUUGUCUUAAGAGUUCAGGUAAAGGAGAUCUUCUAGGGUGAUGUUGUCUUUGGAGAGGCCAAGAGUUCUGAGUUUCUUAGCUCGACGGCAGGAACUUCAUUUUGCUGAGCAGUGAGCCAUUGGUGUGUGAACCAACACAGCAGAAGGAGUGAAUUCAUUCAAAGGCGAAACUGCUGUCCUGCCCGACACACCUGGUUUGAUGAAAAGGACUGAAAGGAUGUUAGAGAAGACAUUUUUGAUGGGAACAGUAGUGGGCAAUGACGUUGAAGUGACUUUGGCCGCGAAGCAUGAGAUGACUCUCGUAGGUUCGCUAAAGGAGACUAUAAAGGCUAUGAGGGGACAGCUGAUAGUCAAAGAUGCUUGCCUUCUCGCAGGUGAAGGGGAGAAAACUUUUGAUGAUUGAGGUAUGUUGGGAAUGUGCAGAAGGACGUUGUUCGACUCUUGAGAUGCUUGGCCAGGGUUUUUGAGAUGGUUGAAGGCUGAGAGGGAAUAGCUCAGUAGCUUCUUGCUUGGUGUCCCACACGAAGACACCCAAAGCAUCGAACUGGGUUUCUGCAGUUUGCCUUGAAGUGAUCUGAGCUCCCACAUCUAAAGUAGGUGCCCUUUUUAAAGGGCUUGGGCUUGACAAGAGGCAUAGAGGGAGAAGUGGAGGGACUUGUACUGAUGGAGUGGUUUACCUUUGUUUCAGGAAGCAAUUGGCUUUUUUUUUGGCUUCUGGUUAGUGGGUCGGCUGCUCAAACUGCUCUCACAUGAGCACAACCAGCUAC